GACGUGUUCUGAACUCCACGACUUACGCAGCCGCCAAGCGGGCCGAACAGCGACCACGUGACCUGGACGCCAUCUUGACUCCGGGCGGCAUCGCCCACAGAUACUUCACUACCCGCUCAUACAGCUCGCUUUGCGCAGGAUUCUUCUUACCAUUGUAUUACUUUCAUGGGGAUAUGUUAUUUAUGCAACACGAAUAGCAGCUCGGUGGCAACUUGAGAAGGACUACCCUGAUCAAAUGCUGAAUUUUUAAAGGAAUCAUUACAGAUGGACAGCAUCUGGAUUUUCACACCUGAAUACACUUAAAACCAAAUUUGAGGACAGAAAAGAUUAUUUCCAGGCUAAUGGUUUGAGAAGUUAUGACCUGACCACAUAAUUUAAGUUUAACAGUGGCAGAAGGCUUCAAGAAAAAAAAAUCAACCUUCCUGCACAAUUAAAAGGAGCAACAGAAAUACAGGCAAUGCAUGUUGUGUGACACUGAGUUUUCUUAAUAAACAAAUACAGAAAAUGAGCACCAGACUAAGAAGCAGCCAAGGAAGAAAUGUACACCAAGUGUAUGUUCAGUUGGUUUGCUGAAUGUCUUCUCUUUUACAGCCCUCUUUGCUAAAUGCUACAUUUUGUAAUGUUUAAAACAUGAUACACAUGUUUAAGUCCAAUGAUAUAGCAGUAAGUAACAUUAUUUAAAGAUGAUUCAACAUUUUCCUUCAGUUCACGUUAAUAUUAUUUGGCCCUCAAAUAGUUUCUCAGCAACAACUUAUCCAUAUCAACUCUUUCCUAUUAAAAUUGAUUAUGGUAAAGUUUUUCAUUGAUGGAUUAAGCAAGUGUAACUACAGCAGCCUCAACUGAGUUGUGUUUAGAGGUCUGCAGAUGUGUCUGGCAUCUUGGCUAUGCCUAGCAAAGUGCUAGUCACAAAUGUUACAGUGACAUAGAUCACACUAUCUUCUAGUGAUAUGGUGUGCUGACCUUCAGGAAUAGUCAGGUCCAGGGUGGCUGAGGAAUUCUGGAAUACUGCUAGUCAAUGAAGUGGACCAAGUAUUUGAAAUAGGGUUAGUUCCUGAAAGGAACAAGUAUUCAUAGAAAUGUGAGUACAAAUCACUAUUUGUCACAGUUUGUUUCUAUUUACUCAUCUUAUUUUGCUGUUGAUUCAUACAAUUAAAGCUAUCAUGUUUUACCAAA